rnacentral:lncRNA from 1 species
AACCCCCAUUCCUGCUGCUGUUCUUCUCGGGCCAAGGCUGAGACACCAUGGCCUCCCUCGGCGUCUCCGAGAUCCUCGGCACACGCCUCAGCACCGCCGCCCCACCUCGCUCCCCCCCUGCGCCACCUCCCUCCGGCUCUCCAAGGAUCGUUGCGCUUUUCUCCAAGAAGUCUUCACCCAAGUCGAAGCCAGCCGCCGUUUCUCCGGUCAACGACGAGCUCGCCAAGUGGUAUGG